GUGCUCACUUUAGAGGCACAGAUCCUAAAGUUGGAAUGAUGCAGGAAGAUUACAUGUCCCCUCCGCAAAGAUGACACAUAGAUUUGUGAAAUGUUCCAUAUUGUU
rfam:Erinaceus europaeus unplaced genomic scaffold scaffold00418, whole genome shotgun sequence